GCAAUGUGAGAAAUCGCGACGGGGGGAUCCCAAGUGCCAUUCUUAACGGGAUGGCUUUUCAUUAGUGUAAAGAGCUUUUGGAAUAAGGGCUGGGCAAGACCGGUGCCAGCCGCCGCGGUAACACCGGCAGCUCUAGUGGUAGCAGUUUUUAUUGGGCCUAAAGCGUCCGUAGCCGGUUUAAUAAGUCUCUGGUGAAAUCCUGUAGCUUAACUGUGGGAAUUGCUGGAGAUACUAUUAGACUUGAGACCGGGAGAGGUUAGAGGUACUCCCAGGGUAGAGGUGAAAUUCUGUAAUCCUGGGAGGACCGCCUGUUGCGAAGGCGUCUAACUGGAACGGUUCUGACGGUGAGGGACGAAAGUUAGGGGCGCGAACCGGAUUAGAUACCCGGGUAGUCCUAACUGUAAACGGUGCGGACUUGGUGUUGGGGUGGCUUUGAGCUGCUUCAGUGCCGAAGGGAAGCUGUUAAGUCCGCCGCCUGGGAAGUACGGUCGCAAGACUGAAACUUAA
rnacentral:rRNA from 1 species